GAAAAACUCCGGUGGUACAAGAUGGACCCGCGUCUGAUUAGCUAGUUGGUAAGGUAAGAGCUUACCAAGGCGACGAUCAGUAGCCGACCUGAGAGGGUGAUCGGCCACAUUGGGACUGAGACGCGGCCCAAACUCCUACGGGAGGCAGCAGUGGGGAAUAUUGCACAAUGGAGGAAACUCUGAUGCAGCAAUGCCGCGUAAAGGAAGACGGAUUUCGGUCUGUAAACUUAUAUCAGCAGGGAAGAUAGUGACGGUACCUGACUAAGAAGCCCCGGCUAACUACGUGCCAGCAGCCGCGGUAAUACGUAGGGGGCAAGCGUUAUCCGGAAUAACUGGGUGUAAAGGGUGCGUAGGCGGUUUGGCAAGUCAGAUGUGAAAGCCUAAGGCUUAACCUUAGGAUUGCAUUUGAAACUGUUGAACUAGAGUGCAGGAGAAGUAAGUAGAAUUCCUAGUGUAGCGGUGAAAUGCGUAGAUAUUAGGAAGAAUACCAGUGGCGAAGGCGGCUUACUAGACUGCAACUGACGCUGAGGCACGAAAGCGUGGGGAGCGAACAGGAUUAGAUACCCUGGUAGUCCACGCUGUAAACGAUGAAUGCUAGGUGUCGGGGGUCGAACCUCGGGUGCCGGCGUUAACGCAAUAAGUAUUCCACCUGGGGAGUACGAUCGCAAGGUUGAAACUCAAAGAAAUUGACGGGGGCCCGCACAAGCGGUGGAGCAUGUGGUUUAAUUCGAAGCAACGCGAAGAACCUUACCAAGUCUUGACAUCCUUCUGACCGGUCUGUAACGAGACCUUCUCUUCGGAGCAGAAGUGACAGGUGGUGCAUGGUUGUCGUCAGCUCGUGUCGUGAGAUGUUGGGUUAAGUCCCGUAACGAGCGCAACCCUUAUUUUUAGUAGCCAGCGGGUAAUGCCGGGGACUCUAGAGAGACUGCCGGGGAUAACUCGGAGGAAGGCGGGGAUGACGUCAAAUCAUCAUGCCCCUUAUGAUUUGGGCUACACACGUGCUACAAUGGCAGGUACAACGGGAAGCGAAAGGGCGACCUGAAGCAAACCCCAUAAAACCUGUCCCAGUUCGGAUUGUAGUCUGCAACUCGACUACAUGAAGUUGGAAUCGCUAGUAAUCGUGAAUCAGCA
rnacentral:rRNA from 1 species